CAAAAACAUCUUUUCUUGUUUAUUUUUUUGAGAUCUGACCUGCCCAAUGAUUAUUUUAAUGGCCGCGGUAUUUUGACCGUGCAAAGGUAGCAUAAUCAUUAGUUUAUUAAUUGUGGACUUGUAUGAAUGGUUGGACGAGAUAUUGACUGUCUCAUAUUUAUGAAUUGAACUUAAUUUUUUAGUUAAAAAGCUUAAAUUUUAUUGUAGGACGAGAAGACCCUAUAGAUCUUUAUUUAUUAUUUGGUUUUAUUAUUUGGAUUAUUUAUUUAUAUUCAUAUUUUAUUUUUUGUUGGGGUGACAUGGAGAUAUAAUUAACUCUUUAUUUUUUAUAUAAUUAUUUUUAUAUGUUUGAUCUUUUAUUAUUGCUUUAGAUAUAGAUACCUUAGGGAUAACAGCGUAAUUUUAUUUGAGAGUUCUUAUUGACAAUAAAGAUUGCGACCUCGAUGUUGGAUUAAGAAUAUUUUAAGGUGUAGGUGCUUUAUAAAUUAGGUCUGUUCGACCUUUAAAUUCUUACAUGAU
rnacentral:rRNA from 1 species